AUGACGAAAGCAAAGGGAAAGAGGAGAAGCACCCGAUAUAUGUUCUCUAGGUUUUUUAGAAAACAGGAGUUGUUCCUUUGGCCACGUAUAUGCUAAUCUGCAAGAAAGGUGAUAUUGUAGACAUCAAGGGAAUGGGUACUGUUCAAAAAAGAAGCCCCGCAAGUGUUAUCAUGGCGAAACUGGAAGAGUCUACAGCGUUCCCCAGCAUGCUGCUGGCAUUGUUGUAAACAAACAAGUUAAGGCCAAGAUUCUUGCCAAGAGAAUUAAUGUGUGUAUUGAGCACCUUGAGCACUCUAUGAGCCGAGAUAGCUUCCUGAAAGGCGUGAAGGAAAAUGAUCAGAAAAAGAAAAAAGUCGGCUGGGCUCGGUGGCUCAUGCCUGUAAUCCCAGCACUCUGGGAGGCCGAGGCGGGCGGAUCACUUGAGGUCGGGAGUUUGAGAUCAGCCCUACCACCAUGGAGAAGCACUGUCUCUACUAAAAAUACAAAAAAAUUAGCCGUGCAUGGUGGUGCGUGCCUGCAAUCCCAGCUACUCGGGAGGCUGAGGCAGGAGAAUCACUUGAACCUGGGAGGCAGAGAUUGCGGUGAACCGAGAUGGUGCCAUUGCACUCUAGCCUGGGCUACAGAGUGAGACUCCGUCUCAAAAAAGAAAAAAGAAAGAAGCCAAAGAGAAACGGACCUGGGUUCAAAUGAAGCUCCAGCCUGCUCCACCCAGAGAAGCUCACUUUGUGAGAACCAUGGGAAGAAGCCUGAACUGCUGCAACCUAUUCCCUAUGAAUUCAUGGCGUAU
rnacentral:lncRNA from 1 species